rnacentral:rRNA from 1 species
CCCUUAGAUGUUCUUGGCCGCACGCGCGCUACACUGAUGCAUUCAACGAGUCUAAAACCUGCUCUGAUAGGGGUGGGUAAUCUUUUGAAUGUGCAUCGUGAUUGGGAUAGAUGAUUGCAAUUUUUCAUCUUCAACGAGGAAUGCCUAGUAAACGCAAGUCAUCAGCUUGCAUUGAUUACGUCCCUGCCCUUUGUACACACCGCCCGUCGCUCCUACCGAUUGAAUGAUCCGAUGAAUAUCAUGGAUUGAGGAUGCAAGCAGGUUCGCCUGUCUUCAUCUUCGAGAAGUGAAGUAAAUCUUAUCAUUUAGAGGAAGGAGAAGUCGUAACA